UAGGGAAUCUUCCGCAAUGGACGCAAGUCUGACGGAGCAACGCCGCGUGAGUGAAGAAGGAUUUCGGUUCGUAAAACUCUGUUGUUAGAGAAGAACAGCGCAUAGAGUAACUGUUAUGCGUGUGACGGUAUCUAACCAGAAAGCCACGGCUAACUACGUGCCAGCAGCCGCGGUAAUACGUAGGUGGCAAGCGUUGUCCGGAUUUAUUGGGCGUAAAGCGAGCGCAGGCGGUCAAUUAAGUCUGAUGUGAAAGCCCCCGGCUCAACCGGGGAGGGUCGUUGGAAACUGGUUGACUUGAGUGCAGAAGAGGAGAGUGGAAUUCCAUGUGUGAGGGUGGAAUGCGUAGAUGUAUGGAGGAACACCAGUGGCGAAAGCGGCUCUCUGGUCUGUAACUGACGCUGAGGCUCGAAAGCGGGGGGAGCGAACAGG
rnacentral:rRNA from 1 species